CGCUGUCCUUAGGGGUGAUUGGCCGUCGCACGGUGCAAUCUGAGACGGGAUUACCCGAACCCUUUGAACCUGAUCCGGCUAGUACCGGCGUAGGAAUAGGAUUUGCCUCUGUG
rnacentral:ncRNA from 2 species